AGUGGAAAGUUGUGGGAUCCAUCUCAUCUAUGCGCAAGAUCAUCCUCAACAGAGCCUUCAACUAUUCAAUGUCAAAAGAAGCCAUGAUGAUACAGAGGAUCACCCACAUGUCUAGUUUCCAGCUCCCUCCGCCAAGGCUUUCAGCUAAGCUCUCCUCUCCCAUCAACUUUGGUUUCGGUCUCUCCUCUCACCAUUGUCUGAUCGGUCGGAGAUUAAAGCCCUAGAUCAACCAGAAUCUCACUGAAGAACCCUACAGAAAAAAGAGCAUCCUUGAGACUGCGAAAACAAGUUGGAGAAGACAUUUUGUUUAGAUGUUCUUCCUUAGCUUGAUUGAGCACACAGUGCAAUUGCGGCAUCAUCUUCUGGACCUUCCCCUCAAUGAAGCCGUCAAAGGAGAGUUUGAAAGUCUCUUCUUAGACAAGCCAAAAUUGAUGAUUUUGAGCGGCUUUGCCCAGAAGAACUGAAUCAACAAAAUAUAGAAGCCUUAGUUGCUGAGAACAAUCUGGAGCGGGUCAAGGAAAGGUCAGUGCACUCCAAGGAAACCCCACAGUUCAUGUCAGGUGCUCAGUCAUUGGAGAAUAUCACAAGUAAAGGUACUGCAGAAACUGGAAGUGCAGUUUCCUUUAGUGAUGAUGAAGACCUCAGCCGGUUAUCUGGGUCAAAAUCUACCACUAGGGGCAGAAGUAGUUCAUCAGCAACUUUUAAGUCCUCCCAUGAUGCUUCUGAACAUGGUAAAGGUAAAACUUGUACAUAACUUUUGGGGAAAUCAAGCCUAACUUGAACUUGAUUCCACCUUGCACCUAUGCUUCGAGGAAAAUUAUUGAUUUUGUGAAUGGACUAUGUUGAAUUGUUCUACCGAUGUUUGAUGUUCUUCCUUUUUUAUUUUGGAAAAAACUAAGCCAUGAUGUGUGUAUUUGAUGAAUUAAUUCAGCAUAUUUGGUUGACUGAUUUGGUAAA